rnacentral:rRNA from 1 species
AUGCCUAUCCGUGCUUCGCUUUGCGCAGAUGACGCCGCUGUUUUUCUUGCACCUAUUAAGGAGGACGUCCAGUUUUUCGCCAACACUCUCAAGCACUUUGGGGAAGUCACCGGUCUGGUCACAAACUUCUCCAAAAGCUUUGUCGCCCCAAUCCGUUGUGAAAAUGUGGAUCUCCCGGAUAUCCUCCAAUCCUUCCCGGCCAUGGGAUGCUCCUUUCCGAUGAAAUACCUUGGGUUGCCUUUGUCUGUCAAGAGACUGAAGAGAAUUCACUACCAGCCCCUCGAGGACAAGGUUGCGGGCCAACUCACUCCUUGGGUGGGGAGGCAUGUUGCCUCAGCGGGUCGCGUUGUCUUGGUAAAGUCUGUCCUCACAGCAAUUGUUGUCUACUACAUGACGGCGUUAGAUUUAUCGGUGGAGGUCAAGAAGAAAAUUGAUGCCCUCAGACGUGCUUUUCUUUGGGCAGGUUGUGAUAAUUAA